GCGGACGUGGCGGAAUUGGUAGACGCGCUAGACUUAGGAUCUAGUGGACACCCCGUGGAGGUUCAAGUCCUCUCGUCCGUACCA
rnacentral:tRNA from 1 species